rnacentral:lncRNA from 1 species
GGUGCUGAAGUUCCAGAGCCGGUAAACGCAUGCCUGGGUGCUGCUUUCACUCCUACCACCCUCAGAAAAACCCGGCCUGCCAAGACCGUGAGCAAGAAUAGUAGAACUUCACAAGAGUUCAACAAUUUUUAUGAAUUUCUAAUCCAACCUCAUCAUCCUAUGGGAAACAGAAGACCACCAAGAACAGCCAGCUGAGACAGAAUUUCACUGUGUUGCCCAAGCCAAUCUUAAACUCCUGGUCUCAAGCGAUCCUCCUGCCUUGGCCUCCCACUGUGCCUGGCCUAUGGACUCUGAAUUUUUUUAAAAGACUGGAAAAAACUUUUAUAAGAGAAUUGGAAAUUUGGACAAUGGAAUCUCAUUCUGUCACCAGGCUGAAGUGCAGUGACGUGAUCUUGGCUCACUGCAACCUCCACCUCCUGGGUUCAAGCGAUUCUCCUGCCUCAGCCUCCUGAGUAGCUGGGAUUACAGGUAUCUUGGCAGUAACCUCCUCCAUAUAUUUCCUUGGCCCUCAGCUUACAUCUAGCAAAAUGACUCUACUGGUUCCAGGCUUCACAUGCAUACAACAUGGUGUUGGAGGAACAGAGAUGUUUUCUCUUCCUGGUGUUUUCCCAGACAUUUCUUAGCUGGCAUUUCAAACAAGGGUCCUGAAAUUCACCCUGGUUGGGUCGUGUUCUCCCCUUCCCAUUCCCCAUCCCCACCCUCAACCGAAAAAUGAUGUAAGCAGGGGAAAUUGAAUGUACCAAUGUUUGUUUUUAAACAAGCCACAGACCCCUCCCCAACUCCCCGACUGAAGCUUGAAGUGGGAUCAGCUUUCCCUAAAGUACUUGAGCUUAUGGUAAAGCAUAUAUGUUAUCCAAGUUAAAGUCUGGACGCUGUUAGUAAUGGGAAGGCAAGUAAUGAAUGUUAGCUAUGGAGCCAACAGACAGUGUCCACUCCAUUGUCUUUAAGGCCCAACUAAAGAUAACCUCUUUACCAAUGUCGGUUUAUUUAUUCAUUUAUUUAUUCAUUGAGAUGGAGUCUCACUCUCUCACCCAAGCUGGAGUGCAGUGGAAUGAUCUCAGCUGACUGCAAUUUCUGCCUCCCAGGUUCAAGCAAUCUCCUGCUUCAGCCUCCCAAGUAGCUGGGAUUACAGGCGCACACCACCAUGCCCGGCUAAUUUUUGUAUUUUUAGUAGAGAUAGGGUUUCACCAUGUUGGCCAAGCUGGUCUCGGACACCUGACCUCAAGUGAUCUGCCUGCCUCGGCCCCCAAAGGUGUGAGCCACUGCACCUGGCUACAAUGUCAGUUUCUAUAAAAACUGCCUUGACUUGUUUUGUUUGCUUGUUUUGUUUGUUUGUGUUUUAAUUUUUAUUAUUUUUUUUUAGAGACAGGGUCUCAAUCUGUUGUCUAGGCUUGAGUGCAGUGGUGCAAUCAUAGCUCACUGAAGUGUUGGACUCCCAGGCUCAAGCAGUCCUCCCACCUCAGCCUCCCAAGUAGCUGAGACUACAGGCAUGCACCACCCUGUCUGGCUAAUUUUUUAUUUUUAGUAGAGAUGAGGUCUCACUAUGUUGCCCAAGGUGGCCUCAAACUCCUGGCCUCAAGUACUCCUGUGGCCUUAGCCUCCCAAAGCUCUGGGAUUGCAGGUAUGAGCCGCCAUGCCUGGCCUACUGUAUAUUUUAUGCAUUUGAUAUAAGUCUUGCCUCCCUAAGUAUAUUACAAGUCCCUUGAAGUUAAAGACAUUAGAUUCCUACUCAGUGCUGAGCUGCAACAGAGAGCACUCAAUGAUGGAUAAAAUAGUUUUAGCAUGCAUUCAGCGAUAUAUAUUUAGAAAGUGGAACUAGGUGGUUGAAAAAAGUGUAUAGAUGGGUGGAAGGGAAUAUUACAGCUCUUAGAAUUGUCCUAAGGUGAGAGUAACAAAUUAAGCAAUGAGUCCCUGGGUUCACUCAAGCAACUUCACUCUCUAAAACAAGAGCCCACAGAAUCCCAUUUCUGCUUUCAGAAUGAGUUUGAGGCCAAUAUUAUUUCCAUUUUUUUUCUUUUUCUUUCUUUCUUUUUUUUUUUUUUUUUUUUGAGACGGAGUUUCACUCUUGUUGCCCAGGCUGUUUUGAUCUCGGCUCACUGCAACCUCUGCCCCUGGGUUCAAGCGAUUCUCCUGUCUCAACCUCCCAAGCUGGGAUUACAAGCAUGCGCUACCACACCUGGCUAAUUUUGUAUUUUUAAUAGAGACGGGGUUUCUCUGUGUUGGUCAGGCUGGUCUCAAACUCCCAACCUCAGGUGAUCUGCCCACCUUGGCCCAGCCUCCAAUAUGAUUUUCUAAUAGCUGUGUUUGAUGAUUAUAUUUAUUCCUCCAUCAGUAGCUUUUUUAGCCUUGAAAAUAUCUAUUUAAGUUUCUUAUUUCCUUUGGAUCUAUCAAAGUGUUUUUCCCCAAGUGGCACCUGGGAAAACAUAUUCUAUUCAUUUAUUUUAUAACUGUUCCCUUGACCUCUUUAUUGCUUCCCUAUUACAACCCAAGAUGCUCUUGUAAACCUGACUUAAUAUUGGCAGUCUUCAUCCCUUGCAAAUGGAAGUGAUGACAGACCCAAUACUUUGUGUAAAAAUAUUUUGCUAUUUCUAUACAAAAUAUUUUAUUAAUGGAAACCACAUGUUAUGUAUUUUACAUAUGUUAUGACUUGAAAUUUAUGUUAUGACUUGAAAUUGGGGAAUCUGAUAUGUCUCUAAUAAUAAAG